rnacentral:lncRNA from 1 species
AAAUAAGUUCUUCGCGGACCGCUCAAAUUUCUCCGCGGACCAGUGCCGGUCCGCUGGACCAGCGGUUGAGAAACGCUGAUAUAGAGUGUUUCUUGAAUAAGAACUUUAAGUAUUAGAGCAAUAUUCAGCAACUGUUACCGAGGCAGGCAUCAUACAGUUGGGACAGUGUUACUAUGAUUGUCAUUAAUUACAUUAAAAUAUCUCAAUCUAUUUGAUAUUACCAGGGAUUUCAAAAUGAAUCCUUCCUUUAGAUAGUUGCAGUUUUUAAUAGUCCUAGCAUUUUUCUAAUCUGUUUUCAUAUUAAACUCAUAAUCUUUGUGGAGAGCAUAGUUGCAUUAUUAUCUAAACAUAUGUCUUUUUUAUGCCCAGUGAUACGAUCAUCUAAGUUUUCUGCUUGUCACAUCAAUAUACUCCUCUUAGCAAUCAAAAUCAUAGUUAUAUAUUGGGAUAUAAUAGGUCCCCAAUUUUUUCCUUUAAUUCAUACCUCUGCUUAUCAUCUGUCUAUUCUAAAGAGUUGGAUAUCUUGUUGCAAUUUUGUCAUUAAUCUUCUUUGCUAUGUUUCUUAUAAUGUUGAGGUUUGAGAUAUCAUGUGGAAAUUUGAUAGACUGCAUGUGUUCCUCAGAUGGGUACAUCUGAUGUUUUUAACUUGUUUACAUAGGAUCAGAGUUAAUCUUUCUUUUAACUUCAUCAUAAAUCUUUUUCAUAAAUUAUAGGUAUACCCAUGCUAUUUUUUUUUUGCAAUAAUAUUUCUAAAUUCAGCAUGUAGCUAGGAUUAAUCAAACAGUGAUUAAAUAUCCUACAAAAAACAGAACAGAAAAUAGCUUUUUUUUAAACUUCAUAGUAUCAUAAAAUCAAGUUAGUAUUAAAACAGAUUUGUAUAUUGCCUUUCUAAAGAAAGGCAACAUACAAACCUGUAUCAGAAUGAUUGCCUAUAUGUCAGUGGUGGCCAACUUUCGUGUCAUUACGAGCCAUAUAGGAAAUUUCAAAUAGUUGAGAGCCUCUUUCUGGGUCAGUGAGGCUCACAUCAAUUUUUUCGGGUAAUCUUAAUAGUGGUUUCAAAAAUUGUUUAUUAUAUAUUUUACAUGCAUUUAUUUCCUAUAUAGAUGCAUACUACUUUUU